UACAGAGGUCUCAAGCGUUGUUCGGAUUCAUUGGGCGUAAAGGGUGCGUAGGUGGCGCUGUAAGUCGGGUGUGAAAUUUCGGAGCUUAACUCCGAAACUGCAUUCGAUACUGCCGUGCUUGAGGACUGGAGAGGAGACUGGAAUUUACGGUGUAGAGGUGAAAUUCGUAGAUAUUCGCAAGAACACCAGUGGCGAAGGCGGCUCACUGGCCCGGUACUGACGCUGAGGUGCGAAAGCGUGGGGAGCAAACAGG
rnacentral:rRNA from 1 species